GCGGCGUGCUAUACAUGCAGUCGAGCGGACCGACGGGAGCUUGCUCCCUUAGGUCAGCGGCGGACGGGUGAGUAACACGUGGGUAACCUGCCUGUAAGACUGGGAUAACUCCGGGAAACCGGGGCUAAUACCGGAUGCUUGAUUGAACCGCAUGGUUCAAUCAUAAAAGGUGGCUUUUAGCUACCACUUACAGAUGGACCCGCGGCGCAUUAGCUAGUUGGUGAGGUAACGGCUCACCAAGGCGACGAUGCGUAGCCGACCUGAGAGGGUGAUCGGCCACACUGGGACUGAGACACGGCCCAGACUCCUACGGGAGGCAGCAGUAGGGAAUCUUCCGCAAUGGACGAAAGUCUGACGGAGCAACGCCGCGUGAGUGAUGAAGGUUUUCGGAUCGUAAAACUCUGUUGUUAGGGAAGAACAAGUACCGUUCGAAUAGGGCGGCACCUUGACGGUACCUAACCAGAAAGCCACGGCUAACUACGUGCCAGCAGCCGCGGUAAUACGUAGGUGGCAAGCGUUGUCCGGAAUUAUUGGGCGUAAAGCGCGCGCAGGCGGUUUCUUAAGUCUGAUGUGAAAGCCCCCGGCUCAACCGGGGAGGGUCAUUGGAAACUGGGGAACUUGAGUGCAGAAGAGGAGAGUGGAAUUCCACGUGUAGCGGUGAAAUGCGUAGAGAUGUGGAGGAACACCAGUGGCGAAGGCGACUCUCUGGUCUGUAACUGACGCUGAGGCGCGAAAGCGUGGGGAGCGAACAGGAUUAGAUACCCUGGUAGUCCACGCCGUAAACGAUGAGUGCUAAGUGUUAGAGGGUUUCCGCCCUUUAGUGCUGCAGCAAACGCAUUAAGCACUCCGCCUGGGGAGUACGGUCGCAAGACUGAAACUCAAAGGAAUUGACGGGGGCCCGCACAANCGGUGGAGCAUGUGGGUUAAUUCAAAGCAACGCGAAGAACCUUACCAGGUCUUGACAUCCUCUGACAACCCUAGAGAUAGGGCUUCCCCUUCCNNGGCAGAAUAAAAGGUGGUGCAUGGGUGUCGUCNACUCGUGUCGUGAGAUGUGGG
rnacentral:rRNA from 2 species